GUCUAUGGCGAUACCACCCUGAAUGCUCCUGAUCUCUUCUGAUCUUGGAAGCUAAGCAGGAUAGGCUCUGGUUAGUACUUCAGUGGGAGAAAUAUAGUAUAUUAUUGUUACCAUAGUCA
ensembl:rRNA 5S_rRNA 5S ribosomal RNA